AACAAGUAAAUGGUUUACGGAUGUUAACUGACUGCUACUGUUAAUUGAUAGCAAACGACAGAUAACAGUUUACGCUAAAAGUAGGUACAUGACGUUACCUGCUUGACUUGAGACACCUGCGUGACCGUUAGAAAAAUACACGUUCCCAAUCUCGCUCGGUUUCGUCAAGUCGCGUGACCUGUAAAUCAAUUACGCGCAAGCAACACGUACACGCAAAAAUGAUAAGCAGACAGUCAGCUUUUGGGAAGAACAUUUGUUAGACCUGCUGUUACGAGAGACUACUGCAGUACAUUGUUUACCUCAUUCACAAGUGAUACCAACGAAGAUCUUAAUCAUAAAUCGAGUAACAGCAAGUGACAGUGAUGAGCCGACUCUGCAAAAACCUUGUGUGAUGCAAGUAAAUGAUUUACGAUAAUUGUGAAUAUAAUGGAUGGUCCAGAAAUUUCAGAAUCAGCAGGGAAUGGUCUAGCCUCACCAUCAAGAUCUUCCAUAGAAAACUGUAGAGAACAGGGGAAGGCAUUUAUUGUUCAUGUUUUGGUUAUUUAAUGCAAAGAAUACCAUUUGUUCCUGUUUUAAGAAUAAUCAAUAGAUUGGAAAAUCUAUUUUGAAAUAAUCAAGCUGUGCUGGCAUUUCUGUGAUGCUUCUAAAUUGAUUUAGAAUUAAAUGGAAUAAAAACUUUGAUUUA